rnacentral:tRNA from 1 species
GUGAAUAUAGUUUACCAAAAACCCUAGGCUGUGAACCUAGUAACAGAGUCUAACCAUUCUUAUUCACC